rfam:Ornithorhynchus anatinus chromosome X1, whole genome shotgun sequence.
UCCCUCUCAGGGUCACACCUGGAGAGUUUCCAGUACUUUACCAGUCUUGGCUACAGGAGGGAGAGUUGAGCCCAGGCCUACCCAUUCCAUUCCUAGCUUGGGCAGUGGCUAGCGAGUGGAGGCAAUCUGCUACAAGU